GAGAGCUUAAAUUACUUGGAAAGUUUAUGGAUGAUGCGGUGAGCCUCAUGAACAAGUCGUUCAUAGAUCGCUAGAUGUAGCAGUUCUAAUCUAUGAAGAGUUGCAUAGAAGCUGCAAUUUUAGCUGGCUCUGUGAGUGGCAACUUAUCCACCGGAAUUGCCUCUUGAUAAUUUCCUCUCUUGCUAAAUCCUCUCAUGUAAAAACAGUCUCUGGCCUCCAAAAGCGGUUUAG
rnacentral:misc_RNA from 1 species